UACGAAGGGGGCUAGCGUUGUUCGGAAUCACUGGGCGUAAAGGGCGCGUAGGCGGCUUUAUAAGUCGGGGGUGAAAGCCUGUGGCUCAACCACAGAAUUGCCUUCGAUACUGUAUGGCUUGAGACCGGAAGAGGUAAGUGGAACUGCGAGUGUAGAGGUGAAAUUCGUAGAUAUUCGGAGGAACACCAGUGGCGAAGGCGGCUCACUGGUCCGGUACUGACGCUGAGGUGCGAAAGCGUGGGGAGCAAACAGG
rnacentral:rRNA from 1 species